CCUACGGGAGGCAGCAGUGAGGAAUAUUGGACAAUGGAGGAGACUCUGAUCCAGCCAUGCCGCGUGCAGGAAGACGGCCCUAUGGGUUGUAAACUGCUUUUAUACGGGAAGAAAAACAGCUACGUGUAGUUGACUGACGGUACCGUAAGAAUAAGGACCGGCUAACUCCGUGCCAGCAGCCGCGGUAAUACGGAGGGUCCGAGCGUUAUCCGGAAUUAUUGGGUUUAAAGGGUCCGUAGGCGGGCCAUUAAGUCAGGGGUGAAAGUCUGCGGCUCAACCGUAGAAUUGCCUUUGAUACUGGUGGUCUUGAGUUAUGGUGAGGUGGCUGGAAUAUGUAGUGUAGCGGUGAAAUGCAUAGAUAUUACAUAGAACACCGAUUGCGAAGGCAGGUCACUAACCAUAUACUGACGCUGAUGGACGAAAGCGUGGGGAGCGAACAGGAUUAGAUACCCUGGUAG
rnacentral:rRNA from 1 species